GCGAACGCUGGCGGCAUGCUUCACACAUGCAAGUCGCGCGGGUGGUUUCGGCCCUCCGCGGCGGACGGGUGAGUAUCGCGUAGGAAUGUAUCCCGAGGUGGGGGACAACCCUGGGAAACUGGGGCUAAUACCGCAUGGGGCCUGUGGGUCAAAGCCUUAGGGCGCCUUGGGAGCAGCCUGCGUCCGAUUAGGUAGUUGGUGGGGUAAAGGCCUACUAAGCCUGCGAUCGGUAGCUGGUCUGAGAGGACGAUCAGCCACACUGGGACUGAGACACGGCCCAGACUCCUACGGGAGGCAGCAGUGGGGAAUAUUGGACAAUGGGCGCAAGCCUGAUCCAGCAAUGCCGCGUGGGUGAAGAAGGUCUUCGGAUUGUAAAGCCCUUUCGGCGGGGACGAUGAUGACGGUACCCGCAGAAGAAGCCCCGGCUAACUUCGUG
rnacentral:rRNA from 1 species